rnacentral:lncRNA from 1 species
ACAGUCACAUCCAGGAAGGGUGGGGGCUCUGCGAUCUGAAAGUGUCCCAGAAGCUGUUUGUCUUGAAAAUCUACCUUUUCCCCAGAGGCCCUGCACUCUGCGACCUCCUCUGGUGUGUAACAACCCAGGCCCAAGUCUUUGCUUUUAGAACACACACACACACACACACACAUACACACCUGUAGACCCCAUGUGUCGUGUGCAUAUCUGUGGACACGCUUUUUUUCCCAUUGUAAGAGUCAUAUACGCUGGGCAUGGUGCGGCGCCACACGUCUGCAGUCUAGCCACUCAGGAGGCUGAGGCAGGGGGAUCCCAUGUUCGAGGCGGCCUCAUCAACUUUGCAAGACUCUGUCUCAAAAUAAGAUGUCUUUAAAAUUAAAUAAAAAAAUAAAAGGGAUUGAACAUGUAAAGGGCCCCUGGGUUCAACCCCUAGUACCCCCCCCCAAAU